rnacentral:rRNA from 1 species
GAUGAACGCUGGCGGCGUGCCUAAUACAUGCAAGUCGAGCGAACAGACGAGGAGCUUGCUCCUCUGACGUUAGCGGCGGACGGAUGAGUAACACGUGGAUAACCUACCUAUAAGACUGGGAUAACUUCGGGAAACCGGAGCUAAUACCGGAUAAUAUAUUGAACCGCAUGGUUCAAUAGUGAAAGACGGUUUUGCUGUCACUUAUAGAUGGAUCCGCGCCGCAUUAGCUAGUUGGUAAGGUAACGGCUUACCAAGGCAACGAUGCGUAGCCGACCUGAGAGGGUGAUCGGCCACACUGGAACUGAGACACGGUCCAGACUCCUACGGGAGGCAGCAGUAGGGAAUCUUCCGCAAGGGGCGAAAGCCUGACGGAGCAACGCCGCGUGAGUGAUGAAGGUCUUCGGAUCGUAAAACUCUGUUAUUAGGGAAGAACAAAUGUGUAAGUAACUAUGCACGUCUUGACGGUACCUAAUCAGAAAGCCACGGCGAACUACGU